rnacentral:rRNA from 1 species
UACGUAGGGGGCAAGCGUUGUCCGGAUUUAUUGGGCGUAAAGAGCUCGUAGGCGGUUCGAUAAGUCGGGUGUGAAACCUCCAGGCUCAACCUGGAGACGCCACCCGAUACUGUCGUGACUAGAGUCCAGUAGGGGAGCGUGGAAUUCCUGGUGUAGCGGUGAAAUGCGCAGAUAUCAGGAGGAACACCAGCGGCGAAGGCGGCGCUCUGGGCUGGAACUGACGCUGAGGAGCGAAAGCGUGGGGAGCGAACAGG